AUCUACGGCCAUGCUACCCUGAACAAGCCCGAUCCUGUCUGAUCUUGGAAGCUAAGCAGAGUCAGGUAGUACUUGGAUGGGAGACCACCUAGGAAGACCUGGUGCUGUAGGCA
rnacentral:rRNA from 1 species